CAGCAGCCGCGGUAACACGGAGGGUGCAAGCGUUAAUCGGAAUUACUGGGCGUAAAGCGCACGCAGGCGGUCUGUCAAGUCAGAUGUGAAAUCCCCGGGCUUAACCUGGGAACUGCAUUUGAAACUGGCAGGCUAGAGUCUUGUAGAGGGGGGUAGAAUUCCAGGUGUAGCGGUGAAAUGCGUAGAGAUCUGGAGGAAUACCGGUGGCGAAGGCGGCCCCCUGGACAAAGACUGACGCUCAGGUGCGAAAGCGUGGGGAGCAAACAGGAUUAGAUACCCCGGUAGUCCCUGUCUCUUAUAC
rnacentral:rRNA from 1 species